GCCCCCGUGGUAUAAUGGAUAACACGUGGCGCUUCGGACGCCAAGUUGGGAGUUCGAAUCUCUCCGGGGGCA
rnacentral:tRNA from 1 species